rnacentral:rRNA from 1 species
UACAGAGGUCUCAAGCGUUGUUCGGAUUCAUUGGGCGUAAAGGGUGUGUAGGUGGCGCCGUAAGUCGGGUGUGAAAUUUCGGAGCUUAACUCCGAAACUGCAUUCGAUACUGCGGUGCUUGAGGACUGGAGAGGAGACUGGAAUUCAUGGUGUAGCAGUGAAAUGCGUAGAGAUCAAUGAGGAAGACCAGUGGCGAAGGCGGGGUCUCUGGGCAGUAACUGACGCUGAGGAGCGAAAGCGUGGGGAGCGAACAGG